rnacentral:lncRNA from 1 species
UUUACAAACUGCCAUUAGAGUUAAAUACACAUCCUUACAUGAGGUGUCAUUUCAUAGGCUUUAUAAGGAGCAAGGUGUUGGAAAAAUAUUAUGACAUAGAAUUAAUUCAUUACAAUAAAUCAAAGAAAUAUUACAACAAAUAAAUAUGAUACAUAAUAAAAUAAAAUAUAGAAUGAGAAGAACUUAUCGAAUUUGACUGAGGCGUGCAAAUGCACUGGGUUUAAGAGUAUUUCGCCACCACAGGUAAAUUACCCGAUGCAGUUGGUCUCAUAGCUAAUACCCUCCAGGAUACAACAGUCACUUCUUGCUAGCACUGCACGUGAAUUAGCAAGGUCUCAAGAACUACUUUUUGGAUGCUCAUGGGAACUUAGUUUGUGUUUCUUAUCAUAUAUGUUUGUAUGUAUAUUAUAUUAUUCUUCUAUGCAUAUACAUACGAUUUUCCUUGUCUCCAAGAAGAAGCAGUAGCUCAAUUAUAUACUCCAAGAGUUCAUCCAACCUUCGACUCCUAGUUUUACGUUACUAUUGUUAUUAUUCAUCCUUUUAAUUAGGCACUUAAAGGAAAUUGAAGCACAUUUAAUUUAUUUCUAACGGUGACACAUGACCAAGUCAAGAGAGAAAAUAAGUUAUAAAAAAUUAUUUAUAUAAUAAUUAACUUUAAAAUAAAUUAAAGAUAAAUAUCCAACACAAGGAUGCAACGUAAGCAAAAAUAGAAGUAUGUUUUAUCCUGUUCUCCUCCUUCACAUGAAAAAAUAGUCAUAUUCAUAUUAAUCGAUUCAACUCAAAGUUUA